rnacentral:rRNA from 1 species
CCUACGGGAGGCAGCAGUAAGGAAUAUUGGUCAAUGGGCGCAAGCCUGAACCAGCCAUGCCGCGUGCAGGAAGACGGCCCUCUGGGUUGUAAACUGCUUUUAUUCGGGAAUAAACCUAUCUACGUGUAGAUAGCUGAAUGUACCGAAGGAAUAAGGAUCGGCUAACUCCGUGCCAGCAGCCGCGGUAAUACGGAGGAUCCAAGCGUUAUCCGGAUUUAUUGGGUUUAAAGGGUGCGUAGGCGGCCUGUUAAGUCAGGGGUGAAAGACGGUAGCUCAACUAUCGCAGUGCCCUUGAUACUGAUGGGCUUGAAUUGACUAGAGGUAGGCGGAAUGUGACAAGUAGCGGUGAAAUGCAUAGAUAUGUCACAGAACACCGAUUGCGAAGGCAGCUUACUAUGGUCUUAUUGACGCUGAGGCACGAAAGACGUGGGGAUCAAACAGGAUUAGAUACCCUGGUAGUCCACGCCCUAAACCGAUGAAUACUCGCUGUUGGCGAUACACAGUCAGCGGCUAAGCGAAAGCGUUAAGUAUUCCACCUGGGGAGUACGCCCGCAAGGGUGAAACGUCAAAGGAAGUUGACGG